rnacentral:rRNA from 1 species
AACGUAGGGUGCAAGCGUUAAUCGGAAUUACUGGGCGUAAAGCGUGCGCAGGCGGUUCGUUGUGUCUGAUGUGAAAGCCCCGGGCUCAACCUGGGAAUGGCAUUGGAAACUGGCGAGCUGGAGUGUGGCAGAGGGGGGUGGAAUUCCGCGUGUAGCAGUGAAAUGCGUAGAGAUGCGGAGGAACACCGAUGGCGAAGGCAGCCCCCUGGGCCAACACUGACGCUCAGGCACGAAAGCGUGGGGAGCAAACAGG